rnacentral:rRNA from 1 species
GAUGAACGCUGGCGGCGUGCCUAGCACAUGCAAGUCGAACGGAGUUGCUUUGAUGAAGUUUUCGGAUGGAUUUAAAACAGCUUAGUUGCGGACGGGUGAGUAACGCGUGGGUAACCUGCCUCACACUGGGGGAUAACAGUUAGAAAUAGCUGCUAAUACCGCAUAAGCGCACGGUUCCGCAUGCAACAGUGUGAAAAACUCCGGUGGUGUGAGAUGGACACGAGGCUGAUUAGCCAGUUGGCGGGGUAACGGCCCACCAAAGCGACGAUUAGUAGCCGGCCUGAGAGGGUGAACGGCAACAUUGGGAAUGAGACACGGCCCAGACUCCUAAGGGAGGCAGCAGUGGGGAAUAUUGCACAAUGGGGGAAACCCUGAUGCAGCAACGCCGCGUGAGUGAUGACGGCCUUAGGGUUGUAAAGCUCUGUCUUCAGGGAAGAUAAUGACGGUACCUGAGGAGGAAGCCACGGCUAACUACGUGCCAGCCGCCGCAGUAG